rnacentral:rRNA from 1 species
CUGCUGCCUUCCGUAGGAGUCUGGCCGUGUCUCAGUCCAGUGUGGGGGGCCUUCCUCUCAGAACCCCUACGCAUCGUCGCC